GUAGGGGGCGAGCGUUGUCCGGAUUUAUUGGGCGUAAAGAGCUCGUAGGCGGUUGGGCAAGUCACGUGUGAAAUCUCCACGCUCAACGUGGAGGCGCCACGUGAGACUGCCCUGACUGGAGUCCGGUAGGGGAGUGUGGAAUUCCCGGUGUAGCGGUGAAAUGCGCAGAGAUCGGGAGGAACACCCGUAGCGAAGGCGGCACUCUGGGCCGGUACUGACGCUGAGGAGCGAAAGCGUGGGGAGCAAACAGGAUUAGAUACCCUGGUAGUCCACGCCGUAAACGUUGGGCACUAGGUGUGGGGCUCUAUCGACGGGCUCCGUGCCGUAGCUAACGCAUUAAGUGCCCCGCCUGGGGAGUACGGCCGCAAGGCUAAA
rnacentral:rRNA from 1 species